rnacentral:rRNA from 1 species
UUCUAGGGCCAUACUACUCUAAACACAAUUGAUCUUGUCUGAUCUUGGAAGUUAAGCAGGGUCAGACUUUGUUAGUCCUUGGAUGGGAGACCUAUCUUCAGUUCAGUUCAAGUUGAGAAA